CCUGUGCGUUCUGCUUGCACUGCACGUUACGACUGCAUCAGUUCGCCAUUGUUUGAUAAUAAGAUAAAAUUACCUGAGUUAAAGUUAGAAGAAUUCACAACGACGCCAUCUUGAUGUUUUCAAGUGGAGGUGACGUAUUUCCGGUUCGAGAGUGGAGCUCCACUCGCCCAUGGUCUGCAGCCAGACCCUUCUCGAUUAUUCCGCUGUUGUAGUGUUUAAGUGGAUAAAUUUACAAGAAAAUAGACAGAAGAUGAUACGGGAGAUCUGAAAGGAUGUUUAGCACCUCUUUGUGAUAAGCAGCAAUGAGAUGCUCUCGCUGCUCUGGGGUCACUGAGGAUGAAGAGACCACAGCAGCAUCUGGUCCUGAUGAGACAGUAAGAGCUGGAGUGAAGGAGCGUCUCAUCCAUGUCACUGGACCAUUUCCAGGAUGCCGCUGUGGACUCCUCCAUCCUCACAAAGCGAUUUACUAAUGAUGACAAUAGAAGGAAACAACAUGCAAGUACUGUAUAAGUCUCAGUUAGCUUAAUGCAGUACAUGUAGCAAUGUUGUUUUAUUAAAUAAUAAAUAAAAAUAAAAACAGAAUAGAAAAAGAAUAGAGCAAUCUAGUGUUGGCUUAAUUUGCAAUUUAUUUUAUUUUUUGCUUUAUUUAAAAAAAAAUAUGAAAACAAGCAGUAAAUUAACAGAGUGCAAGUGUAAAAGGGACAAGUUUUUAUUUUUAUAUUUUAUUAUAGAAUUAGAAUAGAGUGCUUAGAGUUAGAGGGUCAAAUAAAGAUGGAAGAAAUGCGUUUUUAGCCAAUUCUUGUCGAUGGCUAGGACUUAGGACCCCUUACCUGUCGACUGAUCACACACACACACACACACACACACACACACACACACACACAUAUAUAUAUAUAUAUAUAUAUAUAUAUAUAUAUAUAUAUAUUCAUUCUAACAUGCAUUUAGCCAAUUUAAGGUAAUUUUUUUCUAGAAUUUCAUUUUCGUAGUGGUCACAUUAAAUUAGUCUGUGAGCCGAUCAGUUACUGUGACUGGUUGGUUGAAUUAGAUU
rnacentral:lncRNA from 1 species